UGGUGUAAUUGAAUAAAAUGAAGAAUAC
rnacentral:piRNA from 1 species